rnacentral:sRNA from 1 species
CCGUUUCCCAGGUGGAGCCACUGAAGCCGGAGCAUGCCGGGCAGGGGUCAGGCCCUGGCGGGGCGAGGGGGCCUCCUUGGCUCCUUGUCGCCGGAUGCCCGUCCUCGUUCUCAUCUUCCCGCCUGCUGCCACGCCUUUCCGUGGGGUCCCGAUAUUUUCCUUUCUGCUUCUACUCACUGAAGCUGGUUCGUCGCCAGGGUCGGCCGCGUGCCCGCCUUGGGUGCUCCCACAGCCCGGGAGGUGCAGCUGCGUCCCCAGACCCUCGCGGGGGUCUCCAGCUGUAGGCAGCCCUUGGGCAGGAGGGGCUUUUGCCUGUUCAGGCCACCCCGGCUUCCCUGGCCUGUGGGUCCAGUCUCCUCUGGGCUCCUGACUACCCAGUGUGGCUGCUUCUCCCGGGUGGGAGAGACACUGCGAGGACCUUAUCCCUCCCCAUCACCACCCUGGCAAAGUCAAGCCUCUUUUUAUUUUUUAUAAGUUUUUACUGUAGCUAUGGGGUCUCGCCAUGUUACCCGCGCUGGUCUGAACUCCUGGGCUCAAGUGAUCCUUCUUCGUUGGCCUCCCAAAGUGCUAGCAUUAUAGAUGUGAACACCUGCACUCCGCCAUGCUGCUUUUUAUGGGCCCUGUGCAGAGCCUCCCCUGUGCUCCACACCUCUUCCUGUGGAAGCACCUGCUGCGCGCUCUCCCCUGCCUGUAUGCCGCGCCCUCCCUGCCUCCCUGGCUGCUGGGGCCACCAGGGGCUUGGCCCUGAGACAGGCUUCCAUUCUGUUGUCUUUGGCAAAGUCUCACCCCUGUGUGAGCCUCAUUCUUUUCAUCAGUGCAAUGGGAGUGACAUCAGCGUGCCUCUCCUGGGGUCCUGGCGCAGGGGAGAUGGGAGGGCCUGCUAGGGCACAUGUCUUACUGUCAUCGCCAUGGGAGUGAAUGGUAAUCACUUGGCGAUUAGGACAUGAAAGAAGCAGGCACAGCAAAACCAGGGAGGUCUGCAGCAGGGCUCGGGGGUCCAGUAGAGGACGGCAAUGAGAGUCCUGAGGGAAGGAGGAGGCAGGGUUGGCGGGGAGGGGCCAUUGACUAUGCCUGGACCUACUUCCAGGUUGAAGAAGCCUCAGCGGAGGCGAUACGGCCUUCUCGCCAACACUGAGGACCCCACGGAGAUGGCCUCGCUGGACAGCGACGAGGAGACGGUCUUUGAGUCCCGGAAUCUGAGAUGAUGCUGAGCCAGGGAGGCGGCCCUUCCAGCAGCCAUGAGGGAAGGACAGGAGAUGGGGCCCACCCCAGUGCCCAGCAACCCCCUGCUUCACCGCUCAUUCCCCUGCUGGCCCCGGGGCUGGUCUCACCCAGUGCCAACCCGAGAGCUCCUUUUGGAACCUGCACAGCCCGCCCAUCUGUUGCCACCUGCACCCACCGCUGGACCAUGCAGCCUCGCCUCCCGGAUGCUGUCCCAGCCUGGCCGAGGGUCCCAGGUGAAGACCAGAGGGACCCCAACAGCCACCGCCCAGGACGCUGAGGCUCCCUUGCCUGACUGUGACUUGUGCCUCUCUCCUGCCCCCGUGGGGACAUGGCAGCCCAGAGCCAAGGCUGGGUGGGCAGGUGACCCAAGGAACCUUUCUGGGAACACCUUCUCGCCAGGCUGGGAACAAUAAAUGCAGCCAUGUCUCUGCAGCUGGUGCUGACCCCA